rnacentral:rRNA from 1 species
GAUCCUGGCUCAGGAUGAACGCUGGCGGCGUGCCUAACACAUGCAAGUCGAACGAAGCAAUUAAAAUGAAGUUUUCGGAUGGAUUUUUAAUUGACUGAGUGGCGGACGGGUGAGUAACGCGUGGAUAACCUGCCUCACACUGGGGGAUAACAGUUAGAAAUGACUGCUAAUACCGCAUAAGCGCACAGUGCCGCAUGGUACAGUGUGAAAAACUCCGGUGGUGUGAGAUGGAUCCG